rnacentral:rRNA from 1 species
CCUACGGGAGGCAGCAGUAGGGAAUCUUUCACAAUGGGCGAAAGCCUGAUGGAGCAACGCCGCGUGCAGGAUGAAGGCCUUCGGGUUGUAAACUGCUUUUAUAAGCGAGAAAUAUGAUGGUAACUUAUGAAUAAGGAUCGGCUAACUACGUGCCAGCAGCCGCGGUCAUACGUAGGAUCCGAGCAUUAUCCGGAGUGACUGGGUGUAAAGAGUUGCGUAGGUGGCAUAAUAAGUAGCUAGUGAAAUCGGGUGGCUCAACCAUUCAGACUAUUAGUUAAACUGUUAAGCUCGAGACCGUUAGGGGUAACUGGAAUUUCUAGUGUAGGAGUGAAAUCCGUAGAUAUUAGAAGGAACACCAAUAGCGUAGGCAGGUUACUGGGACGGUUCUGACACUAAGGCACGAAAGCGUAGGGAGCAAACGGGAUUAGAUACCCUUGUAGUC